CUCGUCCGUAUUGCCGCCGGGUCCGCAGCCCCGCAGUACUACAGCCAGGCCGCUCUCCCCCCACCCGCGUUCGUGGCCUUCGAGCUGUAUAAUGAAGAUAAUAGUCCCCGCUCCACAGGGUCAUUGUGAGAUUCAAGCAGGGUGGUUGAUGGGGAGCCCUUAGCCCAGUGCCUUGGCGUGUACCAAGUGCUUGAGGAAGGGGAGCUCCCAUCACGGAGGGUGGAACUUGGCCAGCUGACUUCGCUUAUGCAAGGAAAUACACCUGUUGCAGGUGCUUCUGGUUGUGGGAUGUGGGACGCCACCUUAACGUGGCCUAACGAGCAGUGCCAUGUCCGUGCCCAGGAUCCGAACCCUGGGCCGCUGCAGCAGAGCGUGCGAACUUAACCACUCGGCCACAGAGCCAGCCCCUGAAGAGCCCGACUGCACCAUCUCUGCCUGGUCCUGAAGGAGCAGCUGCCACCAGCACCUUCUCAGGGGCUGGGCCAAGCCGAACCGCGCAGCCGACACCCACAGUGCUGCAGGCCCUGGCCAGCUGCAGUUGGAGGCACAGUGCCAUCUAGCGGAUAAAAGAAAAAAGGCUCCAUCGCUUUUUUUUUUAAGUUACUGGAGAACCAUAGACCAAAGAAUCAGCUGUCUUUAUUUGCUACCAAAGGAGCUUGAUAACCAGAGAAGGAAAUGGAUUUCCUGAAUGUCACACAGCCAGCUGGUGGCCGCAUUGAUACUACAGAGCCUCAUCAUUUGAGCCUUGGUCCAGCAUUCUCCGCACUAUACCACAGUAAAGAAACCAGAGGAUAAAAGAGCUUCUAGUUUUGGCUGAGUGGCAUUUCAGACCUCUGCUGAGGUGGAGGUGAACACAAGCGGGGGCCAGCGUCUGAAGAGAUGGUGUCAGUUAUUCACUAUCGAAUGCCUUGGCUGGACUCUCUCAGUCAUGGGUGCAAGGCCAGAGCAAAUUCAGUUGUCCACCCUGCUCUCCCUCCCAGCAAAUCUGCCAUGAAACUCAGCACAAGAUAAGACCAGGUGCAUUGCACUGGGUGAGGGAGCAGGAGAUGCCACAGGUGUCCUGUGCCCUGGGUGGAGAAGAGAAAGAGCUUGUGGGCUGCCGGCCCAGUCUUUCCCAGCCCGUGUUAUUUACAGCUAAGGAAAAUUUUGUGCAUCUGACCCUGGUCCUACUUCCUUCUCCCACCUUUUAGAAACUCCCUACAACUCUAAGUUCCUAGUCCCCAGGUGCCCAGGCUAGGUCCCCAGAUCCCAGAAGAGGGGUGGGGUUGGUGUGUGGGGUGGGGGCGGGGGCAGCACCCUCGUUUUCUGCCCUCUGGGGACUGCCACAACCUGGGUUAACGCAGACUGCCAUGACGCAGUGCACGACAUGUGGGCUUCUCAGCCAGGCUGCAGCUAAAAGGCACUACCCUGAGCCGAGUGUUCCCCACGAUGGUGGAGGGGAGCACACGCUGCAUUAUUCAGUGUCAGUGUGGGGGUGGGGG
rnacentral:lncRNA from 1 species